UACGUAGGGUGCGAGCGUUAAUCGGAAUUACUGGGCGUAAAGCGUGCGCAGGCGGUUUGCUAAGACAGGUGUGAAAUCCCCGGGCUUAACCUGGGAACUGCGCUUGUAACUGGCAAGCUAGAGUGUGAGAGGGGUUAAGGGAAUUCCCGGUGUAAGGGUGAAAUCUGCAGAGAUCGGGAGGAACACCAGUCGCGAAGGCGCUUAACUGGCUCACAACUGACGCUCAGGGACGAAAGCUAGGGUAGCAAACGGG
rnacentral:rRNA from 1 species